UGGGGAAUAUUGCACAAUGGGGGAAACCCUGAUGCAGCGACGCCGCGUGAGCGAAGAAGGCCUUCGGGUCGUAAAGCUCUUUUAUGAGGGAAGAUAAUGACGGUACCUCAAGAAAAAGCCCCGGCUAACUACGUGCCAGCAGCCGCGGUAAUACGUAGGGGGCUAGCGUUGUCCGGAAUCACUGGGCGUAAAGGGUUCGCAGGCGGAAUAACAAGUCAGAUGUGAAAGGCAUGGGCUCAACCCAUGUAAGCAUUUGAAACUGUAAUUCUUGAGAAGUCGAGAGGUAAGUGGAAUUCCUAGUGUAGCGGUGAAAUGCGUAGAUAUUAGGAGGAAUACCUGUGGCGAAGGCGACUUACUGGACACAAAUCUGACGCUGAGGAACGAAAGCGUGGGUAGCAAACAGG
rnacentral:rRNA from 1 species